rnacentral:rRNA from 1 species
UGAGCAAUCUGCCCUUCUCUUCGGAAUAAGCGUUGGAAACGACGUCUAAUGCCGAAUACGACCUCCUUUCGCAUGAUCGGAGGUGGAAAGCUCCGGCGGAGAAGGAUGAGCUCGCGGCCUAUCAGCUAGUUGGUGUGGGUAAUGGCCCACCAAGGCGACGACGGGUAGCCGGCCCGAGAGGGUGACCGGCCACACUGGGACUGAGACACCGGCCCAGACCUCCGUACGGGAGGCAGC